ACGCACGCUGGCGGCCGGCUUAACCCCUGCACGUCGAGCGCAUCCUUCGGGGUGAGCGGCAGACGGGUGAGUAACGCGUGGGAAUCUACCUUUUGCUACGGAAUAGCUCCGGGAAACUGGAAUUAAUACCGUAUGUGCCCUUAGGGGGAAAGAUUUAUCGGCAAGAGAUGAGCCCGCGUUGGAUUAGCUAGUUGGUGGGGUAAAGGCCUACCAAGGCGACGAUCCAUAGCUGGUCUGAGAGGAUGAUCAGCCACAUUGGGACUGAGACACGGCCCAAACUCCUACGGGAGGCAGCAGUGGGGAAUAUUGGACAAUGGGCGCAAGCCUGAUCCAGCCAUGCCGCGUGAGUGAUGAAGGCCUUAGGGUUGUAAAGCUCUUUCACCGGAGAAGAUAAUGACGGUAUCCGGAGAAGAAGCCCCGGCGAACUUCGU
rnacentral:rRNA from 1 species